rfam:Ovis aries breed Texel unplaced genomic scaffold TnplacedScaffold_004082547.1, whole genome shotgun sequence.
GGGAAACGGGUUGCGGGGCCAGCCACAGGCCCCAACAACAACUGGGGAA